rnacentral:misc_RNA from 1 species
GAUGAAGAACGCAGCGAAAUGCGAUACGUAAUGUGAAUUGCAGAAUUCAGUGAAUCAUCGAAUCUUUGAACGCAUAUUGCGCUCUUUGGUAUUCCGAAGAGCAUGCUUGUUUGAGUAUCAGUAAACACCUCAACCUCUUCUUGAUUUUUCAAAAGGAGGGUGGACUUGAGCUAUCCCAACAACCUUUACCGGUCGGCGGGCGGCUUGAAAUGCAGGUGCAGCUGGACUUUUAUCUGAGCUAAAAGCAUAUCUAUUUAGUCCUCGUCAAACAGGAUUAUUACUUUUGCUGCAGCUAACAUAAAGGAUAAUUGUCCUCUUUGCUGACUGAUGCAGGAUUUUACGACAAUUUAUGUGUUGUUCAACUCGAUCUCAAAUCAAGUAAGACUACCCGCUGAACUUAAGCAUAUCAAUAAGCGGAGGA